rnacentral:rRNA from 1 species
AUGAACGCUAGCUACAGGCUUAACACAUGCAAGUCCUUGGGCAUCAGGAAGAAAGCUUGCUUUCUUUGCUGGCGACCGGCGCACGGGUGAGUAACACGUAUCCAACCUGCCCUUUACUCGGGGAUAGCCUUUCGAAAGAAAGAUUAAUACCCGAUAGCAUAAUGAUUCCGCAUGGUUUCAUUAUUAAAGGAUUCCGGUAAAGGAUGGGGAUGCGUUCCAUUAGGUUGUUGGUGAGGUAACGGCCCACCAAGCCUUCGAUGGAUAGGGGUUCUGAGAGGAAGGUCCCCCACAUUGGAACUGAGACACGGUCCAAACUCCUACGGGAGGCAGCAGUGAGGAAUAUUGGUCAAUGGGCGCUAGCCUGAACCAGCCAAGUAGCGUGAAGGAUGAAGGCUCUAUGGGUCGUAAACUUCUUUUAUAUAAGAAUAAAGUGCAGUAUGUAUACUGUUUUGUAUGUAUUAUAUGAAUAAGGAUCGGCUAACUCCGUGCCAGCAGCCGCGGUAAUACGGAGGAUCCGAGCGUUAUCCGGAUUUAUUGGGUUUAAAGGGAGCGUAGGUGGACUGGUAAGUCAGUUGUGAAAGUUUGCGGCUCAACCGUAAAAUUGCAGUUGAUACUGUCAGUCUUGAGUACAGUAGAGGUGGGCGGAAUUCGUGGUGUAGCGGUGAAAUGCUUAGAUAUCACGAAGAACUCCGAUUGCGAAGGCAGCUCACUGGACUGCAACUGACACUGAUGCUCGAAAGUGUGGGUAUCAAACAGGAUUAGAUACCCUGGUAGUCCACACAGUAAACGAUGAAUACUCGCUGUUUGCGAUAUACAGUAAGCGGCCAAGCGAAAGCAUUAAGUAUUCCACCUGGGGAGUACGCCGGCAACGGUGAAACUCAAAGGAAUUGACGGGGGCCCGCACAAGCGGAGGAACAUGUGGUUUAAUUCGAUGAUACGCGAGGAACCUUACCCGGGCUUAAAUUGCAGUGGAAUGAUGUGGAAACAUGUCAGUGAGCAAUCACCGCUGUGAAGGUGCUGCAUGGUUGUCGUCAGCUCGUGCCGUGAGGUGUCGGCUUAAGUGCCAUAACGAGCGCAACCCUUAUCUUUAGUUACUAACAGGUUAUGCUGAGGACUCUAGAGAGACUGCCGUCGUAAGAUGUGAGGAAGGUGGGGAUGACGUCAAAUCAGCACGGCCCUUACGUCCGGGGCUACACACGUGUUACAAUGGGGGGUACAGAAGGCAGCUAGCGGGUGACCGUAUGCUAAUCCCAAAAUCCUCUCUCAGUUCGGAUCGAAGUCUGCAACCCGACUUCGUGAAGCUGGAUUCGCUAGUAAUCGCGCAUCAGCCACGGCGCGGUGAAUACGUUCCCGGGCCUUGUACACACCGCCCGUCAAGCCAUGGGAGCCGGGGGUACCUGAAGUACGUAACCGCAAGGAUCGUCCUAGGGUAAAACUU